rnacentral:misc_RNA from 1 species
AAAAGAUCAGAGAGUAUAUUUUUUUUUAAUUACAGAAGAGAAUAGAGAAUCAAGAGUUAAGAGGGAGUAAUUUUGAAAAGACAAGUAAGGAAAUGAUGGGGGAUAGUGGCAACCUGCCAAGAUUUAUGUAUUUUGCGGUGCCUUUGAUGGUUCUGUGUUUAUUGCACAAGGGUGAAGCAAUAUGGUUGAGUCUGCCGCCGACUGGUACCAAGUGCGUUUCCGAAGAACUCCAUAAUAACGUCGUCGUUUUGGCAGAUUAUGUUGUCAUCUCCGACGAUCAUGUUCACCCUACCCCCACCAUUUCCGCUAGGGUCACCUCGCCAUAUGGAAAUACUCUUCAUCAUAAGGAGAACGUAACACACAGUCAGUUUGCCUUCACAACUACAGAGGCUGGCAACUACCUAGCAUGUUUUUGGGCUGAUAAUCCAGGAGGUGGGAGUCUCAGUGUAAACAUUGACUGGAAAAAUGGAAUUACUGCCAAGGAUUGGGAAUCAGUUGCCAGAAAAGAGAAGAUAGAGGUGAGAAAUUGAGUAGUUCAAAAUGAGUACAGACCUGUUAUCUUGGAUCCAACCACAUAGAGAGAGUAGUAGUCACUGCAAGAGCAAGACUACAGAUUACGAAAAUCUCUAUUCAUCCCAUACUUUGAGAUAAAUAAAUGACACUGAUACAUGUUGCUUGUUGGUAGCAUGAAAUGUCCUACUGCCAACAAUAUGGAUGAUAAUGGACAGGUCAUCUAGUGAGGCAACACCUAUUUG